rnacentral:rRNA from 1 species
ACUGCUCAGUAACACGUGGACAACUUACCCAAGAGUCCGGGAUAACCCCGGGAAACUGGGGAUAAUACCGGAUAGAUCAUCUUUGCUGGAAGGCUUGGUGGUUGAAACUUCCGGGGCUUUUGGAUGGGUCUGCGGCUGAUUAGGUUGUUGCCGGUGUAACGUACCGUCAAGCCUGUAAUCAGUACGGGUUGUGGGAGCAAGAGCCCGGAGAUGGAUUCUGAGACACGAAUCCAGGCCCUACGGGGCGCAGCAGGCGCGAAAACUCUACAAUGCAGGCAACUGCGAUAGGGGAACGUCGAGUGAUCCUCAUAUUGGGGGUCUGUCCACCUGUCUAAAAAACGGGUGUUAGCAAGGGCCGGGCAAGACCGGUGCCAGCCGCCGCGGUAAUACCGGCGGCUCGAGUGGUGGCCGAUAUUAUUGAGUCUAAAGGGUCCGUAGCCGGCUUUGCAAGUCUCUCGGGAAAUCCAGCGGCUUAACCGUUGGUCGUCCGGGGGGUACUACAUUGCUUGGGACUGGGAGAGGUAGGAGGUACUCAGGGGGUAGGAGUGAAAUCCUGUAAUCCUUUGGGGACCACCGGUGGCGAAGGCGUCCUACCAGAACAGGUCCGACGGUGAGGGACGAAAGCUAGGGGCACGAACCGGAUUAGAUACCCGGGUAGUCCUAGCCGUAAACGAUGCUCGCUAGGUGUCACAACAGUCGUGAAUUGUUGUGGUGCCGUAGGGAAGCCGUGAAGCGAGCCACUUGGGAAGUACGACCGCAAGGUUGAAACUUAAAGGAAUUGGCGGGGGAGCA